AACAUCUAUUUUGAAAAUAUUUUUGCUCAGGUUGUGACUUAUUAUGUAUACUCUUAACCAUGCCUUCUACACAAAGGCUUAAAUUUGGACAACAUCCUAUUUGCCUUUUUCUUUUCUAAGUCCUGCUUUUGAUGUGUGUCGGAGCUCUUCUCACCCAACCCAAGAUCACAAACAUCUCACUUGUUUUAUUUUAUAGUUUUAAAUUUAUGUUUAGCUCUAUGAUGCCCUUGGAGUUAUUUUUUUAUAUCGUGUGAGGCGUGGUCCAAGAUUCUUUUUUAGAAUAGUUUUGUCCAAAUUUACCAUCACAAUUUUUUGAAAAUUUUUCACUAAAUUGCCUUUGCACUUUGUUAAAUAUAUGCCCAUCACUCGUUUCUGAGGGCCACACCAUCACCCAGUUGUUUCGAGAACAUUCCUCCCGUGCUGUGGUUAUAAAUUGUUACUCUUCCCCUCUCUCCCCUCACCCGAGAGCUAGUGAAUCUGACCAUGGUAAGCUUCGGAAAGUAGGAAUUGCUUCUCCAAACGUGGUUGGGAAAGCCCACUCAAGGGGCUUCAAGUCUCAAAAAUUGCCUUCAAAUCUGGAAGUUCAGUCUCCAGGAUUUCCCGGCGCUUUCUCCAUUUAUGCAUCUCCCCUAAAUUUAGGGCCACGGGAGGCAGAGCAGCUGACUGAGCCCCAGACACUGGGGGCUUAAGGAGCAGCAUUUUGGGAAGCUGACGUGCCCACUGUAGCAAGAACCUGCAAGAACACCUGUAGAAAAGCAAAUUAAGAACAAAACAGAACCAUGACUUUCCCAGCAUCACCAUCUAGAUGGCUGUAAACGACCCGGCUCCUUGUCUUCGCUGAAUCACGAAGGUCCGUCCAAGCAUAACGACUGUUUGAGGUAUUGGGGUGCAGCAGCAAGCAACAGGAAAGGUCACGUCUCUCAUGGAGGCCACAUCCUGGAUUAAAAUACAGGAGUUUAAAUGUCACAGAAGUAAUAAGAGGACCCCUGUGCGGAACAGAAGAAUCAGUUGAUGAGUCCUCUCCGUAAACACGGCAGCCUGGACCCCGGGGCCAGCUUCUUGUCUUCUCCAUCUGCUCAGAGAAAGAAAGGCAGGUGGAGACCAAGAACAGCACCCAACCCUGGGGAAUAUUGGGAGGUAGAAAUUGGAGGGGAGGACAGUGGUUUCUGUCUUAGCUGAGAGGGGUCCUGAACCUUUGCUUGCAAAGGAGAGUCUGCAAGAAAACCAAGCAGGGGCAUCUCGGUGCCUCCAUCAGUCUGGCUCUUGAUUUCGACUCAGGUCAUGAUCUCAGAGUCACUAUAUCAAGCCCUGUAUCGGACUCCACACUCAGCAAGGAGUCUGCUUGAGAUUCUCUCUCUCCCUUGGUCCCUCUCCUCACUCUCUCCUUCUCUCUCUAAAAAAUAAAUAAGUAAAUCUUUAAAAAAAGAAAAAAAGAAAAGAAAGAAACCCAACUGUAGCCUGGGGCCCAAGGGGCUGAGCAGUGGGGGCGCCAGGGCCAGAAGGACCACGGUUGAUCGCCAGACCGUACCCAGAGUGGAGACACUGGGAGAAACAAAACAGAGCAAAAUGAUUUUUUUUAAACUAGAAUAAAUCUCGAAGUGGUAAGAACAGAUUGAACUCAUGAAGCAAGAACAUGUGGCUCUAAAAGGAAACAUUCAAAGAAUAAAAAUUAUUUUUUAACAACCUAAAAGUCUAAAAAUUCUAAUUGAAUGGUUACAAGCUACAGUUAAAGAAAUUUACCAGAAGUAAAUUUACCCAAAGUCAGGGCUGCAAGAAACAGAAAUGGAAAAUAUGAAAAAGGUAAUACAGGAUGAUCUCUCUAAAGAUUCCAGGUAAACAAUGUGUUACAAAGUUAAAAUAACACAAAAGAAAAAAAAAACAGGAAGACAAAAGUCAUAGAAAAAUUUUCAUAAUAGAAGCAUAUGAGUUUCUAAAUCUUUCUAGAUUUUCUGCUAACAAAUGCUGAACGAAGAGUUUAAAAAUGACCCAAAGCCCCCACUGUAAAUAUUUUGGAAUAUUGUCAGUAAUGAUGAGAUCAUAAACUCUUCCUUCCAGAGAAAAGGAGAAAAGAUGAUCACAUGGGUAAUUAUUGGAGAAUCUGAACGGCACAGAACUUCUCAACAGCAGCUCCAAGACAAUAGUUCGAUGAACCGUCUGUCGCCCAUUGCUCUGCUCGGCGUAGGUAACGUGGACAAAGUCUUCAUGCUACACCCUGAAUAUUUACGCACCACCAACCGGAGGGAGUGCAGUGUGAGGAUGGAGUCUCAGGACGAAGGUAGAAGGGGCCUUGGGGAAACAACUGGUUUGGGAUGUUUUUGGAGGACUGGAGCAGAGAGAGACAGAGACAGAGAGAAACAGACAGAGAGACAGAGACAGAGAGACAAAGAAGCAGGAGUGAAAGGCAGACAGACACGCAGGCCUUGUGAGUCCAGCAAGGCCUGCUCCUGCCCUCCCUGACACCUCGACUCACACUCAGCCACGGAGUCAACAGCCCUGGAGUCCUGGGAUCCACCCGGAGCCCCGUCUCAUCCCUCCAGGGGCUGGUUUGAGGGGAGCAGUUGAGGGAGGGAAGGAUGAAGGGUCAGGUCCCCAGGGCCUGCGAGGAGGAGAAGGAGAGACCUUCCCAACUGAAGAGAGUCCUGCCUGCAUUACAGAACUAAGCCUUCGACUGUGAGUUUUGUUUGGUGAGAAGGAGGCAGGGGGAUUGCUUUCAGUGGCUGCACAAGACAUCAUGGCCUGUGGUUGCCCAGACGCAGCAAGGAUCAGACGGGAGCUGCAGUGCGGGGAGGUGGGGGUCUGCCAGAAGGGGGUCCCCUCACCCGCCCCACAGCCACACUAUGGGAGCUCUGCAGGUGGAAGUGCUGCGUGUGGGCCGAGGGGUGAAUCAUGUGUGAGAGCAAAGCAGGUAACAACACCUGAACACAACACUCGAGGAAAACAGCAAUUCUAGAAAGAAACUGGAAUGUUAAAUUUGGUGGAAUUUACGUCCCCCGUGCAUAGUGACUCCCUUGCCUCCAGGCAGGUUUCAGAGUUCCAACCGGUGUAGACAGUGGACCUGCUGUCCCCAGGCCGUGUGCCCAGCGGCCACGCUCCGACCCACACCUCCCCCUCAGUGGCCACAUGGGCUCCGCCUGGCUCCACUCUGCGCUACGAACACAGCAGGGUCCCCCCAUGGGCUGGAUGUGGUGUGAUUCUGGGGGGGGGCAGAGCGGGGGGCUUUUGCUUUGAGGUUCCAUGAAUGAUUAUGGGCUAUUCCUUUCUCAGAGAAAAGUGUGUUAGUCAGGCCAUCUUACUUCUCGUAUUGUGGUGCUCUGACGUCUGGAGCCUCGUGGUCCCGGAGGGACCGCCCUUCUCAGGACUGGGUAAUCCCCGGAGAUGGGAAACACUUCUUUUAUAGGCAAACCAACCAAUGGGGAGCCUACCCCACACCCCUCCUCUGUGGGGCCCCUCGCUCCAGGCCACGGCGCCCCUGCCCUAAACACUGCAGCGGACCACUAGCGACGGCCCCUGUACCCGACCUGAGGGAUUACUCGCACUAGCUGACCCUUAGCCUGCCCGCCCUGCCUGCCUGCUGCUUCCCGCAGAAGCCGCAGUGAGGUCUCCAGCCUCCGCGAGGUCUCCAGCCUCCGGGUCCCCGCCUCUCCCGCUGACUUGCACCAGUGCCUCCCGUGUGGAACCCUGGGCGUGGGAGCCCCUCUGCUUGGACACCGUGAGGAGUGACCCAUCAAGGCCAGUCAUCUCUUGAUCUGUUAGCUGGACUAUACUGAUUUAUAAUAAUUCGACCUACAUCAACAACAAUAAACCUGGCCCAGCCCUUCGGGGAUGCUGAGGACGGACCCUUCCUAGCUAGCGGGCGGAUCCCAGUCCCGCCAGGAACCUGAGAGGGUCUGCAACAGCAGCACGGCCCACACGUGCUGGGCGUCAGAAGAAGGCCGUGGUGCACUUUGCUGGUGUUGCACUCACACUGUUCCACUCAGUGCUCGUCACAACGCUGCCAUGUCUGUUGUCUUGUCUCCAUCACACGGAAGAAAGUUAGGGAUGCGCUAAAGCCACACCAUUAGGAAGGGGCAGGUGCUGAGCUUUCACUGACUCCAAGUGUGGUCACAUGACCGUGAAACUUACACGGGGGCCCUGGGACCACUGGGAGCCAUGGGCCUAGAGAAUCCAUUUCACAGAACUCACCAUGAAUCCACAUUCCCACCGGAGGUCUGCACUUGCACAAGGACAUCGGGAUAGAAGGAACAUCAGAGUAAAAGGGGAAGAGAUAAG